AGUGGGGAAUUUUGCGCAAUGGGGGAAACCCUGACGCAGCAACGCCGCGUGGAGGAUGAAGUCCCUUGGGACGUAAACUCCUUUCGAUCGGGACGAUUAUGACGGUACCGGAAGAAGAAGCCCCGGCUAACUUCGUGCCAGCAGCCGCGGUAAUACGAGGGGGGCGAGCGUUGUUCGGAAUUAUUGGGCGUAAAGGGUGCGUAGGCGGUUUGGUAAGUUGGAUGUGAAAUCCCCGAGCUUAACUUGGGAAUUGCAUUCAAGACUGCCUUGCUAGAGUGUGGGAGAGGGAAGCGGAAUUCCAGGU
rnacentral:rRNA from 1 species